UACGGGGGGGGCAAGCGUUGUUCGGAAUUACUGGGCGUAAAGGGCUCGUAGGCGGCCAACUAAGUCAGACGUGAAAUCCCUCGGCUUAACCGGGGAACUGCGUCUGAUACUGGAUGGCUUGAGUUUGGGAGAGGGAUGCGGAAUUCCAGGUGUAGCGGUGAAAUGCGUAGAUAUUGGGAGGAACACCAGUGGCGAAGGCGGCUCACUGGACCGGUACUGACGCUGAUGCGCGAAAGCGUGGGGAGCAAACGGG
rnacentral:rRNA from 1 species